rnacentral:rRNA from 1 species
UAGGGAAUCUUCCCGCAAUGGGCGAAAAGCCCGACGGAGCAACGCCGCGUGAGUGAAGAAGGAUUUCGGUUCGUAAAGCUCUGUUGUUAGGGAAGAAUGAUUGUGUAGUAACUAUACACAGUAGAGACGGUACCUAACCAGAAAGCCACGGCNAACUACGUGCCAGCAGCCGCGGUAAUACGUAGGUGGCAAGCGUUGUCCGGAAUUAUUGGGCGUAAAGCGCGCGCAGGUGGUUUAAUAAGUCUGAUGUGAAAGCCCACGGCUCAACCGUGGAGGGUCAUUGGAAACUGUUAAACUUGANCUCAGGAGAGAAAAGUGGAAUUCCUAGUGUAGCGGUGAAAUGCGUAGAGAUUAGGAGGAACACCAGUGGCGAAGGCGGCUUUUUGGCCUGUAACUGACACUGAGGCGCGAAAGCGUGGGGAGCAAACAGGAUUAGAUUCCCUGGUAGUCCACGCCGUAAACGAUGAGUGCUAAGUGUUGGUCUCAUAAGAGAUCAGUGCUGCAGCUAACGCAUUAAGCACUCCGCCUGGGGAGUACGAAAAGCAAGGUUG